ACCAUCCUCCAAGGCUAAAUACUCGUAAUCGACCGAUAGUGAACCAGUACCGUGAGGGAAAGGCGAAAAGAACCCCGGGAGGGGAGUGAAAUAGAUCCUGAAACCGCAUGCAUACAAACAGUGGGAGCCUCGCAAGGGGUGACUGCGUACCUUUUGUAUAAUGGGUCAGCGACUUACGUUCAGUAGCGAACUGAAACAUCUAAGUAGCUACAGGAACAGAAAUCAACCGAGAUUCCCAGUCACGAUAAGGCGAAAGUUGAAGGAUAGAAGCUGAAUCCCGAGUAGUACGGGGCACGAGGAAUCCCGUAUGAAUCAGCGAGGACCAUCUCGUAAGGCUAAAUACUACUGUGUGACCGAUAGAGAACAAGUACCGCGAGGGAAAGGUGAAAAGAACCCCGGGAGGGGAGUGAAAAAGAACAUGAAACCGUGAGCUUACAAGCAGUGGGAGUCCGAUUAAACGGAUGACCGCGUGCCUGUUGAAGAAUGAGCCGGCGACUUAUAGGUACUGGUAGGUUAAAGCGGGAAUGCUGGAGCCAAAGGGAAACCGAGUCUGAAAAGGGCGCUAAUCAGUAUUUAUAGACCCGAACCCUGGUGAUCUAACCAUGGCCAGGAUGAAGCUUGGGUAAAACCAAGUGGAGGUCCGAACCGACCGAUGUUGAAAAAUCGGCGGAUGAGCGGUGGUUAGGGGUGAAAUGCCAAUCGAACCAGGAGCUAGCUGGUUCUCCCCGAAAUGUGUUGAGGCGCAGCGGUAAUGAAAAAAUUGGGGGGUAAAGCACUGUUUCGGUGCGGGCUGGGAGACCGGUACCAAAUCGAGGCAAACUAAGAAUACCCAAGGAGCACAUUGCCAGUGAGACGGUGGGGGAUAAGCUUCAUCGUCAAGAGGGAAACAGCCCAGACCACCAGCUAAGGUCCCCAAAUCAUCACUAAGUGAAAAAGGAGGUGGGGUUGCAAAGACAACUAGGAGGUUUGCCUAGAAGCAGCCACCCUUGAAAGAGUGCGUAAUAGCUCACUAGUCAAGCGAUCCUGCGCCGAAAAUGAAAGGGGCUAAGUGAUGUACCGAAGCUGUGGGAUUAGAAAUAAUCGGUAGGGGAGCGUUCCGUAGUAGUGAGAAGCAGUAGCGGCAAGCAGCUGUGGACGAGACGGAAGUGAGAAUGUCGGCUUGAGUAGCGCAAACAUUGGUGAGAAUCCAAUGCCCCGAAACCCUAAGGGUUCCAGAGGCAGGUUCGUCCACUCUGGGUUAGUCGGGACCUAAGGCGAGGUCGAAAGGCGUAGUCGAUGGAGACCGGGUCAACAAUCCCGGACUACAAUAUGGGAGCAGAACUAGGGACGCAUGAAAGAUAGCCACGCCCUGAAUGGAUUGGGAAGACCGUUACGACGGUCGAGUGGUGAAGGAAAGUGCCAAGAAAAGCUAGGGUUGUGAUGAACAUAUAGUACCCGUACCCGAAACCGACACAGGUAGGGAGGUUGAGAAUACCAAGGGGCGCGAGAUAACUCUCUCUAAGGAACUCGGCAAAAUGGCCCCGUAACUUAGGAAGAAGGGGUGCCAGCCGAAAGGCUGGUCGCAGUGAAGAGAUCCAGGCGACUGUUUACCAAAAACACAGGUCUCCGCUAACUCGAAAGAGGACGUAUGGGGGCUGACGCCUGCCCAGUGCCGGAAGGUUAAGGAAGUUGGUCAGUGGAAACAUAAAGCUGACGACCGAAGCCCCGGUGAACGGCGGCCGUAACUAUAACGGUCCUAAGGUAGCGAAAUUCCUUGUCGGGUAAGUUCCGACCCGCACGAAAGGCGUAACGAUCUGGAUGGUGUCUCAGAGAGAGACUCG
rnacentral:rRNA from 1 species